rnacentral:rRNA from 1 species
UACAGAGGUCUCAAGCGUUGUUCGGAUUCAUUGGGCGUAAAGGGUGCGUAGGCGGCGCGGCAAGUCGGGUGUGAAAUCUCGGAGCUUAACUCCGAAACUGCAUUCGAUACUGCCGUGCUUGAGGACUGGAGAGGAGACUGGAAUUUACGGUGUAGCGGUGAAAUGCGUAGAUAUCGUAAGGAAGACCAGUGGCGAAGGCGGGUCUCUGGACAGUUCCUGACGCUGAGGCGCGAAGGUCAGGGGAGCAAACGGG